AACGCGAAGAACCUUACCUGGGUUUGACAUGCACAGGACGCGUCUAGAGAUAGGCGUUCCCUUGUGGCCUGUGUGCAGGUGGUGCAUGGCUGUCGUCAGCUCGUGUCGUGAGAUGUUGGGUUAAGUCCCGCAACGAGCGCAACCCUUGUCUCAUGUUGCCAGCGGGUAAUGCCGGGGACUCGUGAGAGACUGCCGGGGUCAACUCGGAGGAAGGUGGGGAUGACGUCAAGUCAUCAUGCCCCUUAUGUCCAGGGCUUCACACAUGCUACAAUGGCCGGUACAAAGGGCUGCGAUGCCGCAAGGUUAAGCGAAUCCUUUUAAAGCCGGUCUCAGUUCGGAUCGGGGUCUGCAACUCGACCCCGUGAAGUCGGAGUCGCUAGUAAUCGCAGAUCAGCAACGCUGCGGUGAAUACGUUCCCGGGCCUUGUA
rnacentral:rRNA from 1 species